rnacentral:lncRNA from 1 species
CUCCUAUUAUAAGAUUGUUACGAAUUGUAGAUUCAGAUGAAAAACCUUCAUUAGGUUAUAUAUAUGGUGGCAUGCAUGGAGCACAAAAAGGAAUCAAGAACAUAUUCUUAAAUAAGAAGAGAUUGUACAAACCUUACACUGAUAUGAUUAAGGAGCGAUGGGAUAAACAUGUUCGUCUUAACAUACAUGCAGCAGCUUAUUUUUUUCAAUCCUGCUUUCAUUUAUGAAGAAGGAUUUUGUCAAAAAGUAGAAGUCAUGCAAGCUCUAUUCAAUUUGCUUGAAAUCAAAAGUAUUUGUGGUGAUGAGACAAAAGCAAUGGGGGAGAUAAGGAUGUAUCUAUAACGUGAAGGGAGUUUUGGAAGGCAAUCUGCAUGUAAUACUAGAAAAUCAUUACAACCUGGUGAGAAAUUGUAUUUAGUUAUUUAUUGUUUAUUUUUAAUAGUUCUUAGCGCUUGAAACUAAUUUUAUUAAAUUAUGCAGAUGAAUGGUGGAAAUUGUGUGGAUCUAGUGCUCCAACUUUGCAAAAGAUAGCUGUUCGAAUACUUGGUCAAACAGCUUCUUUUUCGGGAUGUGAAAGGAAUUGGAGUGUCUUUGAACGUAUUCACACAAAAAAAAAAAAAAUAGAUUGGAGCAUCAAAGACUCAAUGAUCUUGUCUAUGUUACGUAUAAUUUGCGAUUGAAGAAUAGGUAUAUAAUCUUAAACUUUUUACC